GGUGUUGGAUCCUUUAGGGUUAAAGUAGUGGGAUGGUGUAGGAUCCUUUAGGGUUAAAGUAGUGGGAUGGUGUAGGAUCCUUUAGGGUUAAAGUAGUGGGAUGGUGUAGGAUCCUUUAGGGUUAAAGUAGUGGGAUGGUGUUGGAUCCUUUAGGGUUAAAGUAGUGGGAUGGUGUUGGAUCCUUUAGGGUUAAAGUAGUGGGAUGGUGUUGGAUCCUUUAGGGUUAAAGUAGUGGGAUGGUGUAGGAUCCUUUAGGGUUAAAGUAGUGGGCUGGGAUGGUGUAGGAUCCUUUAGGGUUAAAGUAGUGGGCUGGGAUGGUGUAGGAUCCUUUAGGGUUAAAGUAGUGGGAUGGUGUAGGAUCCUUUAGGGUUAAAGUAGUGGGAUGGUGUAGAAUCCUUUAGGGUUAAAGUAGUGGGAUGGUGUUG
ensembl:lncRNA